rnacentral:lncRNA from 1 species
CAAGUACGCGGGUUCCGCAUCCGCGGAUUCAACCAAUUGCCAAUAGUAAAGGUAGUACUAUAAGAUCCGAGGCUGGUUGAAUCCGUGGAUGCGGAACUCGCAGCUAUGGGUAUGGACCCCCGACUGUAUUUGCUGUUUUGAAACUGUGCUGCGUGUAGCUUCUGCAGGGACCUCUGAGCACUAAGGGAUUUAAAUCGUUAGUAGAAGGCCUAGGAAAAUAGGGCUUUGAGGGGCUGCCCCAAAACCCUUUCUGUAAGUAGGACCAAGGAUAAAAAUGGAGGGACUAUGCUUCAAUUUAAGUGGUUUCACGUGCUCAAGAGGCACCUCCCAUAUAUGGCCUCAAGUUGCCUCCGGAUUGAUUAGUUACUUAAAACAAGAGGAAUAUUCCUCAGGUGGCCCGUUUCUGAGGUAAAGAAAGCCAUGGUGGAGACAGACGGUCAACACGCCUGCUUACACGGGAUCGUGGGUGCUGCAUGACUAGAAAGAACCCACGUUUAAUUAGGAACUACGGAGAAUGGAAGUUAAGAGGUUGUCACAUACUCCAUGGGAAAGAAAAACAAGAUAAGACCUGCUUCAACUACAGAUGCUUUUUUUUUUUCCUUUGGUGAAAAUUAUAAGAAAAUCGUUUUCCUCCCACAUGUCCCUGACACCCGAGGAAGAAAUGGAGAAAAUAAAGGUCGAACGCACAGAGAAGGUGAUAGGCAUCCUGACCAAGAAAACUGACAGUAGCCAGCUGUUGUCUGAGCUAAACACCAUCCUAAAGAGCCAAGAGCCACGAGGCGAAAAGGGAGAAAGUGAAAAUAACUCCUCUCCUACUGAACCAUAGAUGACAGAUCAGCCAAAAAGGACCCUGGAGGAAGCAAAAGUCAAUGAGGCGGAAGUCCUUGCAAAUGACCCCUGCCUGCUCCCCUUUACCACUCCAGAAAUCAUCCGCCCAAAUGGCCUUUUCUUGGUGCGGCAUCGGAAUGCACUCUCUUCCAUCGCAAUUCUACGCGUUUAUUCUGAAUCUUGCAAUAGUUAUAUCUCAUCUCACCAAAUUUCCCAAGAUUUGAGCCUUUUUCCUAUGGUUUUUCUCUUACCCUAUUUUCUAUGUUUUUAUCUCUUUACUUCUUUCAUUCCCCUAAAAUAUGGAAAGUAAGAAAAACUUAAGACCUCUUCUCGUCCUCACUCUUUUGUUCUCUAUGGUCAAAAAAAAAUUUUCUCAAGCACUCAAAGCCUUUCUAAACUAACUCUGAGAGUUCUUCUUCACAGAACUAGACAUUUACUAUUAUUUAAAAUAUGAGUCCUGGUUAGUGAUAGAGGAACUUCUGAAUCAUUUUAUUUGGCCCAAGAUAAAGAAAAGUGAACUUCAAGCCUCUGGUUGAUUUUGGUUGUAGUAAGAGUCGAGAUGUGUCCUAGGCAGCCAUUUUAUUUAGCAAAACACCAUAUAGUUUAUCUUCAGGGUGCAGCAGAGGUGUAUGUAAAGGUACAUCCGGGAGCUGAUGUGGGAAAAGGUUUGAAAGCUGAAUUGUCGUGUGUAGUAAUGUAACAUCACUUUGAAUCAUUCCUCUGAAGAAGAGACAGAAGCUUAUUAGGCUUUGAAACAUGGAGGAGAAGGGUAUGUCUUCGCAGAAUGGAUCUACAACACAGUAAUGGACUGGGGCGUAGAGAAGAGGAUCACUCUUAGGCAUAAUCCUAUGGUGACUCUGGCCAAGAAAUACCCAGACCGUGUUAUCUGAUGUGGACUUUCAAGUUGGUUGCUGUUCUGUGCUGUAGUCUAGGCACCCUGGGAUGUCUUGAAACCCUCAGUACAAGUUCACUGCGUGCAUCCGCCUUGUAGUGGUGGUGCUUUGGUGGAUGAAGAGGAGGGGCCAGAGCCACGCGUUAAGUAACAAUGGGCC